GCACUAUUGAGAAAAGAUAGUAGAGAGGCUAGAUUUAAAGCAGAAGGUCAGUUUGUAGGACUGUGGCAGUUGUCUCCAUGACACAUAUGUAACAGUAACAGUCACAGGAGUUAGACUGAAGUCUUUAGAAAGGCAUAUAUAGUUCUAGGUAAUGUAUAUGAAAGGAGAGGAUUUUUGUCUCUGGGGACUCAUUGAAGAAGGUUUGCUAGAGGAGGGAGAAAAAUAAGUUAUGCCAUAGACAUAGGUGAGAUUGCCAUAUAUGGAAAUAUAUGAUGAAGAGGAAUGCAUAAGCAAAGGCAUAUAGAGAGGCAGGUACCAGAUAAGAUAGUCUAUUUGUCUAAACAGUAACAAGGCUGUGCAAAUGAGUUAAUGAAGAAAAAGACAGAAGCCAUAUUGUAUACAACUUCCACCCAUGAGCAUGUUCCACAGUAUUAAAAGACCUGCAGUCAACACCGAGCAUUUUAAAACAAAGCCUGGGAUGAUUUCAGAGAGCAGGAUGUCCAAGGAACUAUUAUUUUUAAAUAAAUUGCUUGGCAGUUUGUGGCUAGGGAUCCACUUUCAAUGUGGUAUAAUUUUCCCUUCUAAGAAUUGAAAAUACUCUUUAUAUGUAUUAAAAUCACUGCAAACUAGUUCUGAAGUCAAUUUUGGACUUCAUUCUUCUCUAACAGCAUGAAACCAUGCAUUAGCUCACUCUUUUGGGAUGGGAGACAUCAAAUAGGGAAAAAAGCAAAUAAAUGUAGGCACACGUUAUUGUACACAAUUUUAUGCUCAAAACCAGAUACAUGUGUGGCAUAUUAGUGAACUAUGCCAUCCCAAUAUGUGGGCAUUUAUACUUGAUGAUUUCAUGGGCUAAGAAGGAAUACUCAGAGCCCAAAUACCUCAGUCAUAGGGAACAGAAAAGACUUGGCUGUCAACUUAAUUCAACCUAAAAGAUGAUGUUAACCAUUUAAAUUGACUUGAAUAAAAAGACAUUUUAGCAUAGGUAUUUUAAUGUAACAAUCAUAUCAAUACAUAAAAUUUUGUGUGUGUGUGUGUGUGUGUGUGUGUGUGUGUGUGAGAGAGAGAGAGAGAGAGAGAGAGAGAGAGAGAGAGUUUAGCUAAGUAAUGUAUUCAAGAGAUAGCAACAUCCCUGGUUUUCACCAAUUUCUGAGCCUAUGCAAAGCAUUGGUAACACUCUGGGUGAAGUACUAAGGCAUAAAAAAACAUAUUCUAAAAGUUCUAAAAAAUUAAGUGGUUUUAAAAUUUACAGUCUAAUAAGAUGGCUCCAAAACAAAAUAUCGUGUAUUCAAGCCAAACACAUCUCUUCCCUUCUCUUCUACAGCUUCAUGAAAAUGUGAUCAUCUAUUCACAGGAGAUUUUCUAUGAUGGGGAACUCAUUUUCUUGCAAUGACCCCCUUCCAAUAUUAAGAAAGUAUUAUUACAACUUAUAACAUUUAUAUAAUAUAUUGAGCCAUUACUAGGUCUUAGGUACUGAGCUAAAAGCUUUAUCAGUAUUAUUUCACUUAUUCUUCACAAUAACUUUAUGAGAUAAGUACUGCUAUUAUCCCCAAUUUAUAGAUAAUGUAACUGCAGCUUAAAAUGUUUAAGUAACUAGCACAAGUCACACAGUCAACAUCAGAGGAAGAUGUUUCCAAACUAGGGUUCAUCUUCUCCCAUCCCUGACCAUACUCGUCACUCAUAUAGCUCUCUAGCUGUGCUUCCUUAAAACCUCCAGAACCAGCCUGCUCUCUUCAAAAUAAAUAAAUCCUGGUCUCCUCUCUGGAAUCUUAGAACAUAGAAGACCCUUAGACCGGGGGCUCAGGUAGACUUAGGUUUUCAUACCACGUCAUCUGUGUGUUAAUCUUGUAAAAAUCCCUAAGCCCCACUUUUCAAGUAUGCAAAUGAGGAUACUAAAUCCCAACUCUCAGUUUUGCUAUGAGAACUGAAUGAAGAAUCCUAUGUAAAGUGUUUUUUAUGCUGCUCAAUAGAUAACAGGCAUACUCAAUAAUAGUAAGUUCCCUUCCUGUCUAGGUUCCUUCAACUCUUGUUAUUGAAUGUCUUCCAUCUUUUCCUUAAGAGGUCAUUGGGUAUCUACAGUGCUUUCUCAAUAUUUUAACUGCCAAAUCCUCUCACUUGAAUAACUUCCAAUGUAUAACAACUCUUGGAACAAAACAGAGAACUCUAGGGGGAAUGUUACCUGUCUACGCUGGAGAGGAACCAUCUUACCUACUUCACCUAAAUAGCUUUUUCCUUUGAAAGCAGACUCUUCUAUUGGCUGACCACAUUGGAUCCUUCUCUACUCCUACAGAAGACUGGAUUCUACUACCCUUCACAUCCCAGUUUCUGUAUCUGCCAAAAGUGGAUAAUAAAGACCACUUUGGAGAGCUGUUGGAGGAGUGAGAUGAGCAAUUCCCAUAAAGUUUCUGCCAAAGGAGGCUUUGGGAUUAUGCUGAGAAAGGAUAAAAGCAGUGUUUACUGGAUAAAGAAAAUGUGG